CACGGAUGUAACGAUUCGAUCCCAGUGUUACCUUAUCGACAUCUUUUGUUCCUGACCUAACAUACCUAUUUUAUUCCCGAAGUCAUGGAACGAAGCAGUCAAUCCUGCAGCGCUUGAUCCUUUCCCAGAAGUAUACACUCCAAUGGGAGCAACUUUUUCCACAAACUUCAAAAGUUGUGACUUCGCAGUACCAGGGUCGCCCAAUAAUAACACGUUGAUAUCUCCACGCCUACAAAGACCAUCAGAACCAAAUAUACUAGGGGCCAAUGAUUUUGAUAAACGAUCAUAAAUAUCGGGAGAAGCUGCCAAUCUCCGGAAUACCUCUUCUUCCUCUACUGUGACAUUACUAUAGCGUGAUAUAGCACCAGAAC